rnacentral:rRNA from 1 species
GAUGAACGCUGGCGGCGUGCCUAAUACAUGCAAGUCGAGCGAACAGACGAGGAGCUUGCUCCUCUGACGUUAGCGGCGGACGGGUGAGUAACACGUGGAUAACCUACCUAUAAGACUGGGAUAACUUCGGGAAACCGGAGCUAAUACCGGAUAAUAUAUUGAACCGCAUGGUUCAAUAGUGAAAGACGGUUUUGCUGUCACUUAUGGAUGGAUCCGCGCCGCAUUAGCUAGUUGGUAAGGUAACGGCUUACCAAGGCAACGAUGCGUAGCCGACCUGAGAGGGUGAUCGGCCACACUGGAACUGAGACACGGUCCAGACUCCUACGGGAGGCAGCAGUAGGGAAUCUUCCGCAAUGGGCGAAAGCCUGACGGAGCAACGCCGCGUGAGUGAUGAAGGUCUUCGGAUUGUAAAACUCUGUUAUUAGGGAAGAACAAAUGUGUAAGUAACUAUGCACGUCUUGACGGUACCUAAUCAGAAAGCCACGGCUAACUACGUG